rnacentral:rRNA from 1 species
AGAGUUUGAUCCUGGCUCAGGACUAACGCUGGCGGCGCGCCUAACACAUGCAAGUCGCACGAGAAACUUCGUAGCAAUACGGGGCGGUAAAGUGGCGAACGGGUGAGUAAUGCAUGGGUGACCUGUCCUCAAGAUGGGAAUAACCUCGCGAAAGCGGGGCUAAUACUCAAUGCCAUCCCGGUCUUUCGGGAUCGGGAUGA